rnacentral:rRNA from 1 species
AGAGCAGCAAAAGGGCGUACGGUGGAUGCCUAGACACGAAAAGCCGAUGAAGGACGUAGC